UACGUAGGGUGCAAGCGUUGUCCGGAAUUAUUGGGCGUAAAGAGCUCGUAGGCGGUCUGUUGCGUCGGCUGUGAAAACCCGGGGCUCAACCCCGGGCCUGCAGCCGAUACGGGCAGACUAGAGUUCGGCAGGGGAGACUGGAAUUCCUGGUGUAGCGGUGAAAUGCGCAGAUAUCAGGAAGAACACCAAUGGCGAAAGCAGCUCUCUGGGACGGUACUGACGCUGAGACGCGAAAGCGUGGGGAGCGAACAGG
rnacentral:rRNA from 1 species